UAACACAUGCAAGUCGAACGGGGAUUACGUUGGAAGUCCUUCGGGGCGGAAGAUUUAAUUCGAGUGGCGGACGGGUGAGUAACGCGUGAGCAACCUGUCCCAGACAGGGGGAUAACACUUGGAAACAGGUGCUAAUACCGCAUAAGACCACAGCACCACAUGGUGCAGGGGUAAAAGGUGCAAACCGGUUUGGGGUGGGCUCGCGUCCGAUUAGAUAGUUGGUGAGGUAACGGCCCACCAAGUCGACGAUCGGUAGCCGGACUGAGAGGUUGGCCGGCCACAUUGGAACUGAGAGACGGUCCAAACUCCUACGGGAGGCAGCAGUGGGGAAUAUUGGGCAAUGGGCGAAAGCCUGACCCAGCAACGCCGCGUGAGUGAAGAAGGCCUUCGGGUUGUAAAGCUCUGUUAUGCGAGAAGAAGGACGUGACGGUAUCGCAUAAGGAAGCCCCGGCUAACUACGUGCCAGCAGCCGCGGUAAUACGUAGGGGGCGAGCGUUGUCCGGAAUGACUGCGCGUAAAGGGCGUGUACGCGGCCGAUUAAGUCUGGAGU
rnacentral:rRNA from 1 species